rfam:Camelus ferus unplaced genomic scaffold scaffold668, whole genome shotgun sequence.
GAGGGUAUAGCUCAGUGGUAGAGUGUGUGCCUAGUGUGCAUGAGGUCCUAGGUUCAAUUCCCCGUACCUCCA